rnacentral:rRNA from 1 species
AACGAACGCUGGCGGCAUGCCUAACACAUGCAAGUCGAACGAAGGCUUCGGCCUUAGUGGCGCACGGGUGCGUAACGCGUGGGAAUCUGCCCUCUGGUACGGAAUAACUCAGGGAAACUUGAGCUAAUACCGUAUAAUGACUUCGGUCCAAAGAUUUAUCGCCUGAGGAUGAGCCCGCGUCGGAUUAGCUAGUUGGUGAGGUAAAAGCUCACCAAGGCGACGAUCCGUAGCUGGUCUGAGAGGAUGAUCAGCCACACUGGGACUGAGACACGGCCCAGACUCCUACGGGAGGCAGCAGUGGGGAAUAUUGGACAAUGGGCGAAAGCCUGAUCCAGCAAUGCCGCGUGAGUGAUGAAGGCCUUAGGGUUGUAAAGCUCUUUUACCCGGGAUGAUAAUGACAGUACCGGGAGAAUAAGCCCCGGCUA